rnacentral:tRNA from 1 species
GCCCUCAUAGCUCAGUGGAUAGAGCAGGUCGGUUCUAACGACAAGGUCGGGGGUUCGAAUCCCUCUGAGGGCG